GUGUGCUAUAGUCCAUGGGGUCGCAAAGGGUGGGAUACGAUUGAGCAACUGAACUGAAACGCUGAAGCUUCUCCAAGUGGAGAAGUUAACUGUUAAUGAUGGCAUGCUGCCCACAAGCAUGGAGACCCCAGAUCAGCUGGACUUGAAGGUUGAUGAUGUUGACUCCUGCUUACCUCACGAACCUAUUAGAAGAAUGUCCUCAAGCUGAUCACACUCUCUUUGGAUAAUUAAUAUAAAACUUGUCACUGUCUUCCCCAAGCUGGGACACAUGGUCUUGAGGACAGGGGCCGCUGUGCGCCUCUUUGCCUGGUAAAGCAAUAAAGCGAUCCAUCUCUUCU